GUCGAGCGGGGAAGUAUAGCUUGCUAUACGACCUAGCGGCGGACGGGUGAGUAAUGCUUAGGAAUCUGCCUAUUAGUGGGGGACAACAUUCCGAAAGGAAUGCUAAUACCGCAUACGCCCUACGGGGGAAAGCAGGGGAUCUUCGGACCUUGCGCUAAUAGAUGAGCCUAAGUCAGAUUAGCUAGUUGGUGGGGUAAAGGCCUACCAAGGCGACGAUCUGUAGCGGGUCUGAGAGGAUGAUCCGCCACACUGGGACUGAGACACGGCCCAGACUCCUACGGGAGGCAGCAGUGGGGAAUAUUGGACAAUGGGCGAAAGCCUGAUCCAGCCAUGCCGCGUGUGUGAAGAAGGCCUUUUGGUUGUAAAGCACUUUAAGCGAGGAGGAGGCUACUUGGAUUAAUACUCUAGGAUAGUGGACGUUACUCGCAGAAUAAGCACCGGCUAACUCUGUGCCAGCAGCCGCGGUAAUACAGAGGGUGCGAGCGUUAAUCGGAUUUACUGGGCGUAAAGCGUGCGUAGGCGGCUUUUUAAGUCGGAUGUGAAAUCCCUGAGCUUAACUUAGGAAUUGCAUUCGAUACUGGGAAGCUAGAGUAUGGGAGAGGAUGGUAGAAUUCCAGGUGUAGCGGUGAAAUGCGUAGAGAUCUGGAGGAAUACCGAUGGCGAA
rnacentral:rRNA from 1 species